AAGACCGUACUUAUACAGGAUCAAAUUCUUUAGUAUUGGCUCUGUUCUACUUUGUUUUCAAAGUUGACAUCACAAAUGACUUUGAUGAUCGUAUGUGACCACGUCCGUUGACUCGGGAUGUCGGCCAGAAACUCGAAUUGAGUUUUGAGUUGCUGGCUCUUGAUGAACGUCCACCGUUGCUAUUCCAAGACGGUGUGAGCGGACGCUGGUGUUAUGAGAAGU
rfam:Saprolegnia diclina VS20 unplaced genomic scaffold supercont1.11, whole genome shotgun sequence.